rnacentral:lncRNA from 10 species
CUUAGGUGAUUCACUGCAACCCAGAGAAAGUUUUGUGUUGUGUUCUGGCUGGCGAAACUUCUGCAAACAACGAAUGCUUCUUUUCAUCAGCCUAUUCUGCGUUGGUUGGUAGGAUGUCAGUCUAUAACCACAUCAAUUUCAGAUGAGGAUGUCAAGACUUGGAGUAGGUGACAGUUGGCCUUGGGCUUCGGUGGCCAACCCAUGACUACAAAAGCCCGAGAAGCCAGCAGCUUCCCCGGCUCCUCCACCAAGUGGCCUCUGGGUGAUGGGGAAGCUUGUCCUCUGCUUUGUCACACACAAAACUCUAAAAGUCAGCAUCCCAACGCAUCGGCCUGGAGAGCCCGUCCAGGAGGAUUUAUGUGGAAUCUGGCUUUUCUGAUAGCAUCGACGUUCCUUCCCGUGCCUUCUGAGUCUGUUUCUCUUAAUUUGACUGUGGUCUCUGCUCUUCGCUGGACUCAGGGAGAUGUCACAAAUUCUGCACCAGAAUCUCACAAAUCACAAAGAACUUACUCAUGUAACGAAACACCACCUGUUUCCCAGUAACUAUGGAAAUAAAAAAAAAUUAAUAAUAAAAAAUUUAAAAAAUAAAA